rnacentral:lncRNA from 10 species
ACUCCAAUCUCAGCCCCUGUCUUCACGUGGCCUUCUCCUCUUCUCUCCUUUCUUAGUCUCUUAUGACACUUGUCCCUGCAUUUAGGGCUCACCCAGAAAUCCAGGAUGAUCUCGCUUCGAGAUCCUUAACUGAAUUACGUCUGCAAAGAUUGUUUUUCCAAAUAAGGUCACGUUCUGGGGAUUAAGACUCAGCUAUAUCUUUUCUGGGGGGCCACCAUCCAACCGCCUACAGUGGGAAGUGCAGAGGUUACCCGGGAGACUCUCUUUCUUCUGCUAGGAACCAUUGAGCUCCUGUAGAUCUAACGCCUGGUGCAUAGAAGGCCUUGCCAGUCUUGACCAGGUGAGUGGAUGGUGUUGACCAUAAAGAUGAGAAAACAUCAACAGCAUCUCUCACAAGCUGAGUGACGUCAGGGUACCCUCUGCCUCCCUGGGCCUCAGUUUCCUUAUGUGAAAUAGAAGGAGUAACCCAGCCAAAGCCUCACUGAGUGGUUGGGAGGAUCUCGUGAUGGGUGAGAAGAUGCUUUGUGAACUGCAAGAUGUAGGGCCUCGCAGAGCCCAUGGGCAUAUGUAUCCUGUGGGUAGCUGUUGGCAGUUGUUCUCUUGGGAUCGGGGGAAGGGUGGUGCCAUGUCCUGUUGAACUCCUGAGAGCUGGCUGGGCAGGAGGGCUGCCCCGCUGGCUCUACCACACGCCUGGGGUCAGGGGGCCUCUCUCUCCAGGCAUCCUCUGGACCUGAGACUCAAGUUACCAUGAGGGGAUCAGUCAGCUACUAGGACUUUUGUCUGCCAGGCUCGCCCCCUCCCCAUCCACCUGGCCCUGGCCUUGAACUCAGGACUGUCAGAAUCCUCCCUUCCACAUUCACUGGGAGAGAGUGGCCCCUUCCCCUGCAAAGAGGGCACCAGGUGUCUGAGACGCAUUCUGCUUGGACCAUCUCCACCCUUGGAGGAGCGGGAUUCACGAGGCAUUUCUAUGUCCCUACUUGUAAUUCCUUCGGACAACCUUGUGAAGUAGAUAAGAUGGCAUUCAUCACUGAUGAUUCUUGCAAUUUUCAAGAUAAGACAGCUGAGCUCAUGAAAAGGGUCACGGGACUGCAUCGGGGAGCGCCAGGCCCAGGAUCCUGGCCGGCCGCAGGGGCAGGGCCUUCCCAGCAAAGCAAACACCUCCCUUCUCCCACUUUUUCCCACAAAGUGAUUGUUUUUGCCUCUUUUUUGGAGGGUGACCCAAUAACCAAUUAACAGUCCUUUGUUCUAUUUUGCCAGGGCAGGGCCCUCUCCCAGGCUGAGAGAGGCAGGGAGCAUCCCUAGGCCCUGGCGUCCCCAGCCAGCCACCCAGGACUUAGCUGUCAUUCUCUACCUUUCUGUGCUUUGCCAUUUGUUUUGUUUUCCUCUAGUUUCCUAGUAAAGGUUGCUUUUGAAAAGCUUCAACCUUGUCUCCCUGAGCAGAGGGGAGGAGUGUUUCCACUCCUGGGCGGUGGGGGAGGACGUUGUGGGGUGUGGCCCAGGGCCUGAGCCAGCCUCCUGGAGACUGGGCGGGAGACUUCAGGGGAAGACUCAGAAACAGCUGUGGGCCUGCCGGCCUCUCCCUCCCAAGCAGCUGCCUUCCCGGCCCUUGGCCAUUUGCACUUGGCGUGGGGGACUCCUGAGGAACGAGAGAUGAAAGCGCAGGGUGGCCUUUCUCCGACUUUAAUGUGCACACGAGUCUCCUGGGAUCUUGCUAAUGUAGAGCAGAGGGGACCACAGCCCGAGCCCCCUGCUGCCUCCCAGAGCGAGGCUCUCCUCAUCGUGGACUCACCGCCCUCUGUGUGCCUCGUCCAUCACAUACAUCCUAAGUGUCCCUCCCAGCCUGUGAGCUUCUAGAAGGCAUUGCAACCCGGCACAGGAGCUGACACUUACAAAUAUUCAGGAACAAGCCAGUAGGUGACUCUCAGAAACACUGCCCAGAUCCCCGAAAUAAAUCUCGGCUCGGGGAGCCCCAGACCCAAACCCUAGAGCAAAGAGCAGGGAGACAUUCGGGGCCGCUCCAGAGUCUCAGUGUCUGUGGUUUCCCAGUUCUGACCUUGAAUCCCCCCAGGAAGGGAUUGCAGAAGGCUGGGAAGAAGGUUGCAGUGGAAGGGGAUUCGGUUCCCAAAUAGGCAGCGGGAGGAGGGACGGAAUCAGGGCGGGCAGAGUCCUCCUUGGUUCUGGCCCCAGUGUCCUGUGUGAUUCUGAGUAGGACCACCUAUCCCCUCCCACUCUGGAGCCAUUCGAGUUGUCCUGUUAUGUCCCUCUGAAUGGUCAACAGGACAUUCCUGGGCAACAGAGACCUUGGCAGCUGGUAUCUUACAGGUCCUCGAAGUCUCAUGUAGGGGAAAGAUCAUGAGAUCUGGAGGUGAAGGAGUGGCCCUAACUGGCCCUAAACACUUCAAGUGCCCCUGGGCACGUGGUUUCAUGGCUCUGAGCCUCGAUUUCUUCCUCUGGGUCUUCCUCUGUCACCCAGGCUGCAGUGCAGUGGCGCAAUCAUGGCUCACCGCAGCCUCCACCUCCUGGGAUCAAGGGAUCCUCCCACCUCAGCACCCCGAGUAGCUGGGACCACAGGCGGACGCCACAGCAUCUGGCUGUUUGUAUAUUUUGUAGACAGGGUUUCACCAUGUUGGCCAGGCUGGUCUCGAAUUCCUGGGCUCAAAUGAUCCACCUGCCUCAGCCUCCCAAAGUGCUAGGAUUACAGGAGUGACCCACCGUGCCCAGCACCCCCUUUACCUCUGAGCAAUCCAUCUCUCUCCUUGGGGGCACCCCAUGAUCUAGACACCACCCACCUUGUUCUGCCUUGGCCAAAAUACCACCUAACUGCCCCCACCUAUGCCAGGUGCCCCUCACCCACCCUCCUCCACCCUUCGCUGAGUCCCACUUGGCUGGUGCCCAGGACAGGGACAGUCCCAGCCCUUCCAGCCCAUCUCCCCACAUCAGUACACUCCGGAGAGCCAGCCAAGAGUAGAUUCUUUAUUCAUUUCUCUUUUUUUUCUUAAAAAAAAAAGUAUUCAUUUGGUAUAAAAAAUAAAUAUUUUAAAUAUGAC